rnacentral:rRNA from 1 species
CCUACGGGAGGCAGCAGUGGGGAAUAUUGGGCAAUGGAGGCAAGUCUGACCCAGCAACGCCGCGUGAAGGAUGAAGGUCUUCGGAUUGUAAAACUCUUUAAGUGGGGACGAAGAAAGUGACUGUACCCGCAGAAUAAGCCUCGGCUAACUACGUGCCAGCAGCCGCGGUAAUACGUAGGCGGCAAGCGUUAUCCGGAAUGACUGGGGGUAAAGGGUGCGUAGGUGGUUUGACAAGUUAGUAGCGUAAUUCCGGGGCUCAACUUUGGAAUUACUACUAAAACUGUUAGGCUUGAGUGCAGGAGAGGGGAAUGGAAUGCGUAGUGUAGCGGUGGAAUGCGUAGAUAUUAGGAGGAACACCAGCGGCGAAGGCGAUUCACUGGACUGUAACUGACACUGAGGCACGAAAGCGUGGGGAGCAAACAGGAUUAGAUACCCUGGUAGUC